UCAGUGCACUCUGAAGAAUGCCGGACGCUAUCGUCCGCCCGGCAUACCGAAGGAGCAAGCGUGCCCGCCCCCCCCCCGCGGCGAGGCGUCGUGAAUCUCUCAGGUCCAGAACAGAGGGGGCGUC
rnacentral:ncRNA from 1 species